rnacentral:rRNA from 1 species
UUAAGCGACUAAGCGUACACGGUGGAUGCCCUGGCAGUCAGAGGCGAUGAAGGACGUGCUAAUCUGCGAUAAGCGUCGGUAAGGUGAUAUGAACCGUUAUAACCGGCGAUUUCCGAAUGGGGAAACCCAGUGUGUUUCGACACACUAUCAUUAACUGAAUCCAUAGGUUAAUGAGGCGAACCGGGGGAACUGAAACAUCUAAGUACCCCGAGGAAAAGAAAUCAACCGAGAUUCCCCCAGUAGCGGCGAGCGAACGGGGAGCAGCCCAGAGCCUGAAUCAGUGUGUGUGUUAGUGGAAGCGUCUGGAAAGGCGCGCGAUACAGGGUGACAGCCCCGUACACAAAAAUGCACAUGCUGUGAGCUCGAUGAGUAGGGCGGGACACGUGGUAUCCUGUCUGAAUAUGGGGGGACCAUCCUCCAAGGCUAAAUACUCCUGACUGACCGAUAGUGAACCAGUACCGUGAGGGAAAGGCGAAAAGAACCCCGGCGAGGGGAGUGAAAAAGAACCUGAAACCGUGUACGUACAAGCAGUGGGAGCCUCUUUUAUGGGGUGACUGCGUACCUUUUGUAUAAUGGGUCAGCGACUUAUAUUCUGUAGCAAGGUUAACCGAAUAGGGGAGCCGAAGGGAAACCGAGUCUUAACUGGGCGUUAAGUUGCAGGGUAUAGACCCGAAACCCGGUGAUCUAGCCAUGGGCAGGUUGAAGGUUGGGUAACACUAACUGGAGGACCGAACCGACUAAUGUUGAAAAAUUAGCGGAUGACUUGUGGCUGGGGGUGAAAGGCCAAUCAAACCGGGAGAUAGCUGGUUCUCCCCGAAAGCUAUUUAGGUAGCGCCUCGUGAAUUCAUCUCCGGGGGUAGAGCACUGUUUCGGCAAGGGGGUCAUCCCGACUUACCAACCCGAUGCAAACUGCGAAUACCGGAGAAUGUUAUCACGGGAGACACACGGCGGGUGCUAACGUCCGUCGUGAAGAGGGAAACAACCCAGACCGCCAGCUAAGGUCCCAAAGUCAUGGUUAAGUGGGAAACGAUGUGGGAAGGCCCAGACAGCCAGGAUGUUGGCUUAGAAGCAGCCAUCAUUUAAAGAAAGCGUAAUAGCUCACUGGUCGAGUCGGCCUGCGCGGAAGAUGUAACGGGGCUAAACCAUGCACCGAAGCUGCGGCAGCGACGCUUAUGCGUUGUUGGGUAGGGGAGCGUUCUGUAAGCCUGUGAAGGUGUGCUGUGAGGCAUGCUGGAGGUAUCAGAAGUGCGAAUGCUGACAUAAGUAACGAUAAAGCGGGUGAAAAGCCCGCUCGCCGGAAGACCAAGGGUUCCUGUCCAACGUUAAUCGGGGCAGGGUGAGUCGACCCCUAAGGCGAGGCCGAAAGGCGUAGUCGAUGGGAAACAGGUUAAUAUUCCUGUACUUGGUGUUACUGCGAAGGGGGGACGGAGAAGGCUAUGUUGGCCGGGCGACGGUUGUCCCGGUUUAAGCGUGUAGGCUGGUUUUCCAGGCAAAUCCGGAAAAUCAAGGCUGAGGCGUGAUGACGAGGCACUACGGUGCUGAAGCAACAAAUGCCCUGCUUCCAGGAAAAGCCUCUAAGCAUCAGGUAACAUCAAAUCGUACCCCAAACCGACACAGGUGGUCAGGUAGAGAAUACCAAGGCGCUUGAGAGAACUCGGGUGAAGGAACUAGGCAAAAUGGUGCCGUAACUUCGGGAGAAGGCACGCUGAUAUGUAGGUGAAGCGACUUGCUCGUGGAGCUGAAAUCAGUCGAAGAUACCAGCUGGCUGCAACUGUUUAUUAAAAACACAGCACUGUGCAAACACGAAAGUGGACGUAUACGGUGUGACGCCUGCCCGGUGCCGGAAGGUUAAUUGAUGGGGUUAGCGCAAGCGAAGCUCUUGAUCGAAGCCCCGGUAAACGGCGGCCGUAACUAUAACGGUCCUAAGGUAGCGAAAUUCCUUGUCGGGUAAGUUCCGACCUGCACGAAUGGCGUAAUGAUGGCCAGGCUGUCUCCACCCGAGACUCAGUGAAAUUGAACUCGCUGUGAAGAUGCAGUGUACCCGCGGCAAGACGGAAAGACCCCGUGAACCUUUACUAUAGCUUGACACUGAACAUUGAGCCUUGAUGUGUAGGAUAGGUGGGAGGCUUUGAAGUGUGGACGCCAGUCUGCAUGGAGCCGACCUUGAAAUACCACCCUUUAAUGUUUGAUGUUCUAACGUUGACCCGUAAUCCGGGUUGCGGACAGUGUCUGGUGGGUAGUUUGACUGGGGCGGUCUCCUCCUAAAGAGUAACGGAGGAGCACGAAGGUUGGCUAAUCCUGGUCGGACAUCAGGAGGUUAGUGCAAUGGCAUAAGCCAGCUUGACUGCGAGCGUGACGGCGCGAGCAGGUGCGAAAGCAGGUCAUAGUGAUCCGGUGGUUCUGAAUGGAAGGGCCAUCGCUCAACGGAUAAAAGGUACUCCGGGGAUAACAGGCUGAUACCGCCCAAGAGUUCAUAUCGACGGCGGUGUUUGGCACCUCGAUGUCGGCUCAUCACAUCCUGGGGCUGAAGUAGGUCCCAAGGGUAUGGCUGUUCGCCAUUUAAAGUGGUACGCGAGCUGGGUUUAGAACGUCGUGAGACAGUUCGGUCCCUAUCUGCCGUGGGCGCUGGAGAACUGAGGGGGGCUGCUCCUAGUACGAGAGGACCGGAGUGGACGCAUCACUGGUGUUCGGGUUGUCAUGCCAAUGGCACUGCCCGGUAGCUAAAUGCGGAAGAGAUAAGUGCUGAAAGCAUCUAAGCACGAAACUUGCCCCGAGAUGAGUUCUCCCUGACUCCUUGAGAGUCCUGAAGGAACGUUGAAGACGACGACGUUGAUAGGCCGGGUGUGUAAGCGCAGCGAUGCGUUGAGCUAACCGGUACUAAUGAACCGUGAGGCUUAACCUU